UACGUAGGGUGCAAGCGUUGUCCGGAAUUAUUGGGCGUAAAGAGCUCGUAGGCGGUUUGUCGCGUCUGCUGUGAAAACCCGAGGCUCAACCUCGGGCCUGCAGUGGGUACGGGCAGACUAGAGUGCGGUAGGGGAGAUUGGAAUUCCUGGUGUAGCGGUGGAAUGCGCAGAUAUCAGGAGGAACACCGGUGGCGAAGGCGGUUCUCUGGGCAUGACCUGACGCUGAGGAGCGAAAGUGUGGGGAGCGAACAGG
rnacentral:rRNA from 1 species